AGAUGUAUACAAUGAAAUAACUAAAUAUAGUCCUAAAAGGAGGAAAGAAAUAGCCAGACACACUACACAUGCUCCUCUGUGACCACCAUUUUAACAUGUCAUUUUUUACAGUUAAUAUGCAAUUUAAGAAAAUGUCAUCUUUAUAUCGUGUCAAUCAAACUCUCGGUGCAGAAAACCUGCAAUGUGUUUGUCAAAUGUUUCCAAAGGGCACCUUUUGUCUGACCGUCUCAUUUGGGCUGGUAUAUACAUUUUCUUUUACUAUACAGGGAAGCGAAGUCUCCUGCACAUUUCUAUACCGUGGGACCUUCCAAAAUAACCAGCUGGAAGAUGCAGAGAUUUAGACGGUUGUGUGUUUUGAUCAUGGAGGAGCUGCAGCCUAUGAAGUGAUCAGAAGAACUAUCACAGUUUAUGUAACAUGGACACCAUUGAAGAAGAGAGGGAGAUUUUUCAGCAGAAUACACCUGUGCUGUGAAAGCCUCAGAGUUUGUUAGAGAGCAUUACUGAAUCAACAGCAGGAUGAAGACCAAGGAGCUCACCUAACAGGUCCGGGAUAAAGUUAUGGAAAUAUGGCUAGGUUAUUAUAAAAAAAAAAAAAAUCCCAAGCUCUGAACAUCUCCCACAAUACCAUAAAAUUCGUCAACAGUAAAAAAAAAAUAAAAAAAUAUGGCACAACCGCAAACCUAAAAGACAAGGCCAUCCAUGCAAACUGACAAGCCGGGAAAGGAGAAAAUUUAUCAGAGAAGCAACCAAGAGGCCCAUGGUAACUCAGAAGGAGCUUCCAAGAUCUUAUUUGAGAGAACAACUAUUAGUUUAUGGAACAGUGACAAGAAGAAAGCUGCCAUUGAAGCCACAGGAAACCCAGUUGUGAGUUUGCCAAAUGCAUGUGGAAGACCCAGCAAACGUGGAGGUAGGUGCUCUGGAUAGAUGAGACUACAAUUAAACCUUUUGGCCUUGGUGAAAAAUGUGACGUGUGAUGGUGCCAUCAUGCUGUGGGGGAUGCUUUUCUUCAGCUGGUACAGAGAAAGGGGUCAGAAUUGAUGAAAAAAAAAUGGAUGGGGCCAAAUACAGGGCAAUCCCCAAGUUUUGAAGUAUUGACUUUUUGUUGUCAUUGUUUGUGUCACAGUAAAAGGUAUUUAGCAUUUUAUAAGGUACUAUGCUAGUUUUCUUUAUAAAAUGGUAAAAGUCGAUUUGAAAAUCCAGCUUGUAACAGUAGCAAAAUGUCCAAGGGGGUGAAUACUUAUACAAGGCACUAUAAAUCAUCAAACAACUGACCACAUUAAAAACCCAAGGUUUCCGAGGAGGGAUCAGGACA